AGAAGAAUGGCUGAGCGGCUGAAAGCGAAGAUUUGCUAAAUCUUUAUACGGCGACAAAUUUGAUAACUGUAUCGUGGGUUCAAAUCCCACUUCUUCUG
rnacentral:tRNA from 1 species